GGAGUGUUGUACUUUAUAUAAGCUAGUAUAGUACAGCAUGUGUGAGAUAAAGUUUUGCAGAUCUCUACUAUUAAAGUCUCAUUUGUGACUUCACUGACUUGCCUGUUGCCUCGCCUUCUCUUCCUCUUCUAAAAUUUAAAGCAGUCAAGCCAAUCUCCUCAAGCUAUCAGUGUAUGGAAUCUCAACAAAUGAAUUGUGGAAAUUCUUCUACUCGCGACCAGACUUUUUUGGUGAUAUGAUCUAAUCUUCAACAAAUAUAUUACCAUUGUGGUAUUGGUGUUUUUUUGGAGGCAUUAUGGCAGCAAGAUUGUUACUAUACCGGAAUUGAUGCAAUUUGAAGAAUUUCCGAGCAUGUGUUUUAUAAGGAAUACUUUAUUGGUUUUCGUGUUGUUGGUGACAGUGUUAGAAUUGUCCUUUAGCAACCUGAAUUCGGACGGCCGAUCAUCGACAGGGGCAAAAUAGACCCUUCUAUUUGCAAAGAACAACAACUAAUGCACAAUGUAUUAAUUAUUUCGCCUGAAAAAGUCUUGGGCAAAAAUGGUGGCUUGGGCAAAAAUGGUGGCUCUUUAUAUUAUUUAUAUUAUUUAAAGAUACAAAAAGAGAUAUAAAUCAAAGAUAUAUAUAACCUUGAUUGAGACUUAUUAUAUUUUUUUUAUAUACAUAUACAUAUAUGUGCACCACUUUUUAUAACCUAAUGACAAAGUACCUGUACAUUAAUAAAAACAGAGAAAUUUCUAUUAACAACCAUUAA